rnacentral:rRNA from 1 species
UCGAUUAGAGUUUGAUCCUGGCUCAGAACGAACGCUGGCGGCGUGCUUAACACAUGCAAGUCGCGUGCGCAGUUUCCGUAGCAAUACGGGGAUCGGCGCACGGCGCACGGGUGCGUAACACGUGGGCAAUCUGCCCUCCGAUGGGGAAUACCCCCGCGAAAGCGGGACUAAUUCCGCAUAACAUUCCUUGGAUUAAUUUUCGAGGAUUCAAAGCAGCAAUGCGUCGGAGGAGGAGCCCGCGCCCGAUUAGCUAGUUGGUGAGGUAACGGCUCACCAAGGCAAUGAUCGGUAGCUGGUCUGAGAGGAUGGCCAGCCACACUGGAACUGAGACACGGUCCAGACUCCUACGGGAGGCAGCAGUGGGGAAUCUUGCACAAUGGGCGAAAGCCUGAUGCAGCGACGCCGCGUGGGGGAUGAAGCUUCUCGGAGUGUAAACCCCUUUCGACUGGGACGAAUGCCUCGCAAGAGGAGUGACGGUACCAGUAUAAGAAGCCCCGGCUAACUACGUGCCAGCAGCCGCGGUAAGACGUAGGGGGCCAGCGUUGUUCGGAAUUACUGGGUGUAAAGGGUUCGUAGGCGGUGUGGCAAGUCGGGAGUGAAAUCUCUGGGCUCAACCCAGAGACUGCUUCCGAAACUGCUGUGCUUGAGUGUG